CUUUUGUUUCCAUUGUUUCUGACCUUAGGACAUUUCUGGAUUACAAGAUCAUGAGUUCCAAAUUCGGCAUCCAGACUCUCCAGCUUUAUUGUACCAGUUCCGAUUAGGGGAUGAAAAAUUACAGGCACCCAUGGCUCUGUUUUAUCCAGCAACUUUUGGAAUUGUUGGACAAAAAAUGACAAUUUUGCAGCACAGGUCACAAGGUGACCCUGAGGAUCCUCAUGAUGAACUUUAUCUGCUGGCCACACAAAGCAAGCAGGAACAGUCUGCAAAAGCUACAGCUGACAGAAAAUCUAUGUCAAAGCCUGGUGCAUUUGAGGGAGAAUUGAGAGGUCAAUCCUCAGACAUUUCAGAGAGGAUCUACCCACAAGAAGUGGAAUUGGGAUCUUCCCAGGGUGACUGCAUGAUACCUGGCAAUGAUUCAGAGGAGCCU